AUUGAACGCUGGCGGCAGGCUUAACACAUGCAAGUCGAGCGGAGCGAGGGUGCUUGCACCUUAGCUUAGCGGCGGACGGGUGAGUAAUGCUUAGGAAUCUGCCUAUUAGUGGGGGACAACGUUCCGAAAGGGACGCUAAUACCGCAUACGUCCUACGGGAGAAAGCAGGGGAUCUUCGGACCUUGCGCUAAUAGAUGAGCCUAAGUCGGAUUAGCUAGUUGGUGGGGUAAAGGCCUACCAAGGCGACGAUCUGUAGCGGGUCUGAGAGGAUGAUCCGCCACACUGGGACUGAGACACGGCCCAGACUCCUACGGGAGGCAGCAGUGGGGAAUAUUGGACAAUGGGGGGAACCCUGAUCCAGCCAUGCCGCGUGUGUGAAGAAAGGCCCUUUUGGUUGUAAAGCACUUUAAAGCGAGGAGGAGGCGCUUCUAGGAUAAUACC
rnacentral:rRNA from 1 species